rnacentral:siRNA from 1 species
GCCCAAAGAGAGCCCUCCGACGA